UGUUCUUGGUUGCCACCUUGAAAUCAUUCAUUAAUUUUAUCUUAACAUUUUUGUUUUGUAAGUCCGAUGGGACAUCAUUUGUGCCAGGGACUUGGGGCCUUAGCUCACACUACAUCCUCCCUUCCGCUGCCUGCCUGGCUCCCUGGGUUCUCCCAGCCUACUCCCCCACGCUGCCCAGGGACAGCUGCUGCCCUUGGCUCUGAUCCCCAUGCUCAAGGGAGUGCCAAGAAGCAAAUCAGAAACCACCGUGACAAAUGGAAAGACGGACUAGGGAAGAAAGGAAGAAAGGAAACAUUUUUUCCCCCCUUUGUGUACAAGGGGCCCUGCAUUUUCAUUUUGCACUUGGCUUUACCAGUUGUGUAGCUGGUCCUGGCUGUCAACAGUAGCAUCACCUGGGAGAAUCUCAGACCCCACCCCAGACCUGCUGACUCAGAAUCUGCAUUUUUACAAGACCCCCGGAUGAUUCCUGUCCAUUCAAGUCUGAGAGGCUCGGCCAUCAUUGGAUGGCCUCCAAAUGUGCCGAUCAUCUGAACGUCUGAAAAAGCAUCCCAGGUGAUUCUGAGGCUCAGCCAGCAAUGGGGUCAUUGCCUCGUGUGCAUAUUUCCCAGGCCUUACCUGAUGAUCAGAAUCACCUGGGGCAAGUUUUUAAAAGCAGAAGCGCCCAGGCUCCAUUCUCUAUUUAUGACAGUCUCCAAAGGAGGGCCUUUGGGAAUAUAUAUUUUUAAUGAGCACUCUGGCUGACCCUUCCUACCCGUGACCGGUUUAGAGGUGUGUGUACGCGCACCGAGCUGGGACAGCGGGAUACGACUCUGGAACUUUCAUCCCGAUGUUGACAAGAAAGGAGACCCGUCUUCCCACUGAACCUGAAGUGGAUGGGCCUUCUGUAACCCAAGACCUGCUGGGAGCACCAAGUGGACGGAGCGUGGCCAAGAGGGCAGCCAGUAUUGCUGCAGGCUGAUCGAGAGGCGGACGGAGUCUUCACCCUGUUUGAGAUUCUCUGUCCAUCCCUGCCUGAAGCCUGUGAACCCAACCAUGAGACAAGCCUGGACUGACCUGCCUGAGGAUGAAAAUCCACACAGAGGAGAGCGGAGCCAUUUCUCCAGAGGCUGUCCUAGACCCGCCAGCCCCAAGCAAUCUGCUAGCUUCCCAAGAGGAAUAAGUGAGCUCAGGUGUCAUUAGGUGGGCCUGGCCCAUCCAGAAGAUACACUAAGCCAACCUACAGACUUAUGUGCCGGGGGGCAAAACUUUGAAGGCGGAGGAGCGUGGACAUAGCUUCUCUCCCACGGAGUGUGGUUAUUCCCGGAGGAGAAGUCCCAUCAGCCGGUCGCCGGAGCUCUGGCGUUCCUUAGCCAUUACUUACAUAAGAUGAAAAUGGAAGCGCCCAUCUUUCUCGCUUAAGGAGGUUGCUGCUGGACUGAAUGAGAUCAAGAAUGUGGGAAUGUUUACUGAGCCGUCGGUGCUGCUCAAAUAACAAGGAGCUACCAUGCAGAGAAAACUCAUCAAAAAAUGAAGCCAAACACAAUGGAAAUGGGAGCUUAGAGACCUAUAGCGAUGAGACCUGUGGGACGGCCUUUGGCUCCUGGAUCCAGCUAUUUCUGAAGCUACAUUUACUCUUCUAUGCCCAGGACGAUCCAAAUGGAAGAAGUUUUAACAUCAACAAAACCACAUGAUGCUGAAUACUUCAUCCGCAUUGGCCUCAGUUUCCUCACCUGUAAAAUGGGUGCUAAUGACACCAGCCAUGUACCUAGUAUCUCCUGUGCUGGACCCUGAAGGCACUCAGAUACGCCCCAGUGGAGAAGAGUGUUAAUAAAUGAUACCUGUGUGAAUAACCUCCUGACCACUGUUGGUUUCUGAGUUCCUAUAGGUCUUGGCUAUCGUCUCUGUCAGUCUUGGAGGAUGGAAGGAAAGUUCACAAACGCUGAUAUCAACUAAUUCUAGAGAAAGAAGACGAUCCUCAUGAAGGAAGGUAGUCUGCAGACCACGCUCCAGGGAAGACUAGUACAAGAACGUGAGGAAGUGUGUCUGCAGUGACUCUGCCACGUCCAUCUGCCUUAGCAGUCCCCAUCCCCAGCAACAGCAGUGGCUGACACUCCCUGCUAAUCAGAACGAGAUCUCGCCUCAACAGGUAAGGCUUAUGAGACAGCCUCAAAAUUUGCUGAAUGAAUCAUGGCGACUCUUGUCUUCUCCACCUCAAAAUGUCUUGAGCAUUUGGGUCUCUUCGGUACCGGUCCAUUCUGUUAUUCUCCCCUGGGAGGAAAGCAGAACCGAGGCUCUGCUGGGGAAGGGGGCAGGUGUUCAAAUCUGUUCCAGGGUUGACAUUGCAUAUGGAAGACAGGUGGGAAUGUAAGCGUCCUGGGACAGAAGAAAAUGCCAGGGGUCACUGAACUAGCUAAUCUAACAGACAAGUGGGUGCUUCGUGUUAAAGCAUACCUGUGUUCUACUUUCAUGGCUUCCUGCUAGGUCUGCAGUAGAUAUUUAUCAAACCAUACUAGGGACUGGUGAUAUUCAGAAGAGAAGACAGGGGGAAGGAGUGGGGGAUGCUGGGAGCAGCAUACAAUGGCUGCUUUCAAAUACUGGAGAGGGCAGGCUGCGAAGGAGCAGAGCUUCCACAUGAACUAAGAUACCCAGUAGCUUCCCUAUUGCUUAAAGAAUACAUUCCCAACUACCCACCAGGCCUACGAAGCUCUAUAUAAGUUCUCAGAAUCACUUGGUGAUCUGGUUCUCAGAAUCACUUGGAGAGCUUUUAAAAAUAUUGAUGCUCGGACCCAUCAUGGGCCAAUACCUGGGAUGGGGGCCUGGGCAUCUGCAUUUUUGCCUACAGAAGGCUGGGAACCUCUGCUGCCAUCAUCUGGCACCAGCCUACCUGCCGAGGUUUGUUCAGUGCUCUUGUCCCGUUGGCCUUGUUUCUGGAAUAGUCCAAGCUCGUUCCAACAUCAGGGAUUUUGCUUUUCCUGGCUCCUGUGCUUAGAAGAGCCUUCUUCCUGAUUAAAGCUGGCUCAUCAGCUCAAAAUGUUGCCUCUUGGUGAGGCCCCCCGGCCCCCCGUACUUAUUUCCUAGGGUGGCCACAACAAAGUACCACACACUGGAUGGCUUAAAACUCUCACAGUUCUGGAAACAAGAAGUUCAAAGUCAAAGGGUUGGCAGGGCCAUGCUCUGUCUGAAAGCUCUAAGGGAGGAUCUAUUCCAUAUCUUUCUCAUAGCUUCAGUGGUUGACAUCCUUCACAUUGUCCCCUCUCAGCAAAUAUCUCUUCUCUUUUUAUGAGGACGCCAGUCACAUCCCUGUAAGAACAUCCUUUUAGCUUGAUUACGUCCACAAACGCCAUAUUCCAAAUAAGAUCAUAGCCAUAGGUACCAGGACUUUAUAUUAGGACCUUAAUAUCAUUUCAAGGGGGACACAAUUCCACCCACAAUACUCUCCAUCCAAAGUAGCUUCGCCCCACAUUUCUCUGGUCAUUAUUGCUUUACUUUGUCUUGACCGUGUCUGAAGCUAUCCUGCCUAUUUAUUGGUUUAUUCGCGUGUUAGCUGUCUUCGUCACUGAACAUAAGCCCUGUGAGAUGAGAAAACCUUGAUUAUCUGGCAUGCCACUAUGUUGACCAUGUCUGAAAGGAUGUAUAUUAAAUAUUUGUUUGAGUGAAUGAAGCAGCACUAAUGCUCAAAGAAUAAAAAAUUACAGAGGAGGGGCAUGUGGGUGGCUCAGUCCAUUAAGUGUCUGACUCUGGGUUUCGGCUCAACUCACGAUCUCACAGUUUCAUGGGUCCAAGCCCCGCAUCAGGCUCUAUGCUAAUGGUGUGGAGCCUCCUUGGGAUUCUCUCUCUCCCUCUCUCUUUCUCUGCCCCUGCCCUUCUCACGCUGUCUCUGUCUAUCUCAAAAGAUAAAUAAACUUAAAAAAAAAUACAGAGAAGCAGAUUUCAGUUCACCAUGAGGAAGACUUUGACAUAAUUAAAGCCCACUCAAAAUGAAGUACCUGCUGUUUUUUUUUUUUUUUUAAGUAAUGAGUUCCCUGUCUUGGGAGAAGUUCUUUCCAAGGCUGGGUAAUGUCUUAGCAGGGAUGCUGGGGAGAGGAUUCACAUGUCAGUUCAGGAAUGGAUUUAUGACCUCUAAGGACCUUUUAAAUCCAGAAGUUCAAUAAUUCUAUAUUUGAGCAGAGACUUUUAAAACACACCGUGUCUCAACGAAAUGUCUCUAAUGGUGAAAACUUCAGGCAGGCGUAAGUUUCCCAGCACAGCCUCUGCCAGGUGAAAUCUUGUGACAGGCUUCAAAUCACAUUACGUUUGUAGCCUCCCUUACGUCUCAUG